rnacentral:tRNA from 3 species
GCCCUGAUAGCUCAGUUGGUUAGAGCGGUUGACUGUUAAUCAAUAGGUCCAAGGUUCAAGUCCUUGUUGGGGCG